rnacentral:lncRNA from 1 species
GUGAUCCAAGAGAGGGCAAGGAGGAAGCCACGAUGCCUUUUAUACCCUCAUCCUAGGAGUCCCACUACAUGACUUCUAGCACAUUCUGUUUAUCAGGGCACUAAGUAUGGUUUACAUUCAAGGGAACGGGAAUUAGGCUCCAUCUUGUGAAGCACUCUUAUAGCUGCCGCAGAAGCCUGAAACCUGGGCGAGUUUUGAGCUGGGAGAUAGAACGAGAUUCACACGACAUGCCGCGUGACCAGGUCACCAGAAAACUCCAUUUCUUCUGUGAGGGGUUUCAAAGAGAAUAACGACCUACUCAGAGAUUCAAAUGUGAUGCUUUCGGUGGAGCAUCAGCCAUCUGGAGGAUGUGAGAUACCAGCCAACAGAUUGAGGAUGAUGGAGGAAAGAGCCUGCAUGCAAGAAAGCAGUGAGGGAGGGCAAACAGAACAGUGGCAGCAACCACCUACCCCUGCACUCCUUGUUCCAGGAGAAGCAGCAGCUUCUGUGUGCAUAAGGCAGACAAGUUGGGUUUGCUGUUACCUGCAGCUGUAGGCAUUCCUGACUGAUAAAAGGGGCUCUGUGAAUGUGAAGAAUGUGUGAAGCACCAAAUAAGGGACCUCCAGAGAAAUGCUUACUUCAGUAGAAACUCUUUUCUCCUCUAGAGAAGUCCCAUGUUCUCCAAUGCAGGGCUUGGCAAGCUGGGCAAAUAGAAAUAGGUCGGCCCUCUGCCCUUUUUUGUAAAUAAAGUUUUAUUGGAACAUAGCCAUGCUCAUUUGUAUACAUAUUACCAAUAACUGCUUUUGCCAUAAAACAGCAGAAUUGAAUAGUUGCAACAAAAACUGUGACAGAGACUAUCUGACUUGCAGAGCCCAAAUGACCUGUCCAAAAACAUUUGAACUUAAUGGUAACUCAAGUUGUU